UAGGGAAUAUUGGGCAAUGGAGGCAACUCUGACCCAGCAACGCCGCGUGAAUGACGAAGGUUUUCGGAUUGUAAAGUUCUGUUCUAAGGGAAGAAUAAAUGACGGUACCUUAGAAGAAAGCCCCGGCAAACUACGUGCCAGCAGCCGCGGUAAUACGUAGGGGGCAAGCGUUGUCCGGAAUAACUGGGCGUAAAGGGAGUGUAGGUGGUUUGCUAAGUUAAAUGUGAAAUCCCAGGGCUUAACCCUGGAACUGCAUUUAAUACUGGUGAACUAGAGUGCAGGAGAGGAUAAUGGAAUUCCUAGUGUAGCGGUAGAAUGCGUAGAUAUUAGGAGGAACAUCAGAGGCGAAGGCGAUUAUCUGGACUGUAACUGACACUGAGACUCGAAAGCGUGGGGAGCAAACA
rnacentral:rRNA from 1 species